rnacentral:rRNA from 1 species
GUGGGGAAUAUUGGACAAUGGGCGAAAGCCUGAUCCAGCCAUGCCGCGUGUGUGAAGAAGGUCUUCGGAUUGUAAAGCACUUUAAGUUGGGAGGAAGGGCAUUAACCUAAUACGUUAGUGUUUUGACGUUACCGACAGAAUAAGCACCGGCUAACUUCGUGCCAGCAGCCGCGGUAAUACGAAGGGUGCAAGCGUUAAUCGGAAUUACUGGGCGUAAAGCGCGCGUAGGUGGUUUUGUAAGGUGGAGGUGAAAUCCCCGGGCUCAACCUGGGAACUGCCUCCAAAACUGCAUGACUAGAGUACGGUAGAGGGUAGUGGAAUUUCCUGUGUAGCGGUGAAAUGCGUAGAUAUAGGAAGGAACACCAGUGGCGAAGGCGACUACCUGGACUGAUACUGACACUGAGGUGCGAAAGCGUGGGGAGCAAACAGGAUUAGAUACCCGAGUAGUCC